GACGAACGCUGGCGGCGUGCCUAAUACAUGCAAGUCGAGCGGACUUUCCGGAGUUCUUGCACUCCGGAAGGUUAGACGCGUACGUGUUAGUUACACGUAGGCAACCUACCCAUAAAACCCGGAUAACAUUCGGAACCGAUUGCGCAUACCGCCUAUGCGAGCCACUCACAGGUCGUCAGAGCGCACGGCGGCACAUGCGCCCGCGUCUGAUUAGCUCUGCGGCGCAUUAGCUGGUUGGUGGGGUAACGGCCUACCAAGGCGACGAUGCGUAGCCGACCUGAGAGGAUGAUCGGCCACACUGGGACUGAGACACGGCCCAGACUCCUACGGGAGGCAGCAGUAGGGAAUAUUGCGCAAUGGACGCAAGUCUGACGGAGCAACGCCGCGUGAGUGAAGAAGGUCUUCGGGUCGUAAAGCUCUGUUGCUAGGGAAGAACGGGAAGGGGAGUAACUGCCCUUGUCAUGACGGUACCUGAAGAGAAAGCCCCGGCUAACUACGUG
rnacentral:rRNA from 1 species